rnacentral:rRNA from 1 species
AAGUCUGACCGAGCAACGCCGCGUGAGUGAAGAAGGUUUUCGAUCGUAAAGCUCUGUUGUAAGAGAAGAACGAGUGUGAGAGUGGAAAGUUCACACUGUGACGGUAUCUUACCAGAAAGGGACGGCUAACUACGUGCCAGCAGCCGCGGUAAUACGUAGGUCCCGAGCGUUGUCCGGAUUUAUUGGGCGUAAAGCGAGCGCAGGCGGUUAGAUAAGUCUGAAGUUAAAGGCUGUGGCUUAACCAUAGUACGCUUUGGAAACUGUUUAACUUGAGUGCAAGAGGGGAGAGUGGAAUUCCAUGUGUAGCGGUGAAAUGCGUAGAUAUAUGGAGGAACACCGGUGGCGAAAGCGGCUCUCUGGCUUGUAACUGACGCUGAGGCUCGAAAGCGUGGGGAGCAAACAGGAUUAGAUACCCUGGUAGUCCACGCCGUAAACGAUGAGUGCUAGGUGUUAGACCCUUUCCGGGGUUUAGUGCCGCAGCUAACGCAUUAAGCACUCCGCCUGGGGAGUACGACCGCAGGUUGAACUCAAAGGAAUUGACGGGGCCGCACAGCGUGAGCAUGUGUUA